rnacentral:lncRNA from 10 species
AGAAGUGACUCCUGCCGUAGCUGCGGCAGGCCUGGAGGCCGUACUGGGACCUGGCCAAAGACCCAGAAGUCCAGCUUUGAAGAAAACCUGGAGAAAGAGAGAGUCACAAAUCAUCUCCAUACUGCAGGAGAUGCAGAAAUGGCAGAAGGCAUCCCUUGGCUGUGACAGUUUCUUGAUCUUCACUUGAUUUUCAUGGUCUUGACACUUUGAGGACUACUGCUCAGGUUUACAGAUGCCAUUUAUGUCCAGAGCUACUGAGGGUGCCAACAGAUGUCGUUUUGUAAGAAAAGCUCCCCAAAAUUCUGUGCAUCGGACUCAUUUAUGCAAUCUCUGCCUACAUUGGGACCCCACUGAAGCCACGACCCCUAAGGCAGGGCUGGACUGCCUUGCAGUGGGAAACAGCCCAAGUGUCCAUCACUAGAGGAAUGCCUGAGUAUACUGAGGCCAGCCUUACUAUAGAGUCCAAGCAGCAAGUGACAAGGAUGAGGUGGCUCUACAUGUGCACGUGUAGAACUGCCCCCAAGACCUUGUGAAAUGCAAAGAAUAUUGAGUAUCACUUUAGAAUAUAUUAAACAACCUAUCAAGAUUAAUGAGCUUAUUCAGAAAAGAAAAUAAGUCCUGAUCAAUUUCAGCGUGUUUGGACCAGCAGAUUCCAGGUGAUGGAUAGGCAGCUUCAUUUUAAUAGUCUGUUGGUACAGGGUGACCUGUAGCCUUUCCAGAAGAGGUAAAAUGAAUCCUCCGGUUGUCACCCCCUCCUUCCUCGCUCCAAUUCCAUCAUUAAUCCCCGUUUGAGGAUUUGAGUGCUGCCGAGGACUGACAGACUCCAUGAGGUUCAGCUGCUGCCUGGUACAUGUGGUCACCUGCAGCUUCUUCAGCCCUACAUAUAUUUUGUGCUGUUUUAGACUGCUCUUUCUUCCAUUAAAUGAGAGAUUAGAUCUGAAUGGCCACGUGAUCUUCUGAGUCCCAUCUGUAAGAAUCUGCAUUUCCACGGAAUUGGGGGAGCAAACGUUCUCAAAACAUUCUUAAAUGCAAACCCGCAGGCACAGCAUGUGUCUGUCAACUCCAAGAGCAUUUGGAUGUUCGAAGGGAGAGGAUGUUUGACAUCUAACCCGUCGUGGAAAGAGGAGCCUCUACAGUGACAUGAAGGCAAUGGAUUCUCAGCAUUACAAGGCAAGACAGAACUUGAAGGAAGAAGGCUGGGAGGAAACCAAUGUUGAAUGAACACUGACUCUGUGCUCAGCCCUGAGCAAGCAGUGGAAUGCCCCUGGGCUGUGAGCCACGAAUUCAAAUCCCAGCUUGUAGAGCUGUUCUGGGGGUUAGAAGUUUGGGGUCCCUCGUUGCUGCACUCGUUCCAGGUUUGGGGCUGGCGCUGCCCUUCUGACCCCUCCCUAAAGUGGACACAGGAGAAGGAGCGGGGAGAAGAGACAGGCGGCCAGGAGACACCCUGUUGAGGGCUCCCUCUGCUUGCAACAGGACCUGCUGAGGUUGCAGCUGAAGUGCUGGUCUUCCCAGAGAAAACAACCCCUCAUUCUCAAAGGAUGAGAGUGAGCCCUGCGGGGCUGCAUGCUCUUGGCCAUGGGAGAUCAACUGUGGUCACAUAGAGUGUAAUCAGUGUGUAUUUAUGGAUCACUCACUACAUGCAAGACCGGGACACAGCCGGGAUUUACUGUGGGGCUGAAAGCAAGUCACUUAAAAAGGUAAAAAUUCAUGUCCUUUUAAUCUACUUUUCAGCAAGGAACAUCACGUCUGAAUGCUCGCGGCCUCUGCCUGCCCCGUGGGAUGGUGCUGGAAAUUAUACUCAUAUUUAGAUAGCAUUCUCUGCAAGUGGCUGCUGUUGUCCUUCCAUCGUCAGCACAGGCAGAUGCUGGGAGUACCCACCUUGGGGUGAGGUGGCAAGAGAGGGCCAGCUUGUAUCCGCCUCGUUGUCGUCCUUCCUUCCUGACUUGACUCUCUCCUCUGUGGCCUUCUCAGGAGUGGGAUGUGGUUGUGAGGAGAAUGUGCACUUUACCCCUCACCAGUCCAGAGAGGGGCACAUAGCCCAAACCUCUCCCCUUCCCAGAAACCUGCAAGUCCCCCUGGGUGCGCCUGUGUGAUGAGGCAGGCUCCGAGAGCCACAGGCUGGUGGGCCACUAGGAAGCAGUAAAGGAAGACAUUUUAUGAUUGUAGCUGGAGAUAAUGAAUUGAAAAGCUGGUCUCUGUUUCUGGAAAUGAUGCCAGGAGGCCCUCAAAAUAAACGCCCACCUGUCCUUCAGGUCUCAACACCUGUU